rnacentral:lncRNA from 1 species
GUAUAUAUAUAAACACAUUCAUAAUAACACAUAUCAAUGUUAUUUUUUUAGGAAACAAAAAACAUAUAAUUUAAUAUGUCUGAAAUGCUUAAUCGCUGUAAUUAUCAAAUUCGAAAAUGGCAUUUCUCAAUAUAAGGAAAUGAAUAAGCUAAUAGAAGCACUAUUGGAGUGUACGUCAUAUGGAAGUGCCGAAAUAAAGUGUACAGCGAGAGUCGCAUUGGUUGUAUUGGACAAUGUAUGUCCAAUCAAACCCUUAGUUAAUAAAUUGCACAUACCUGUGGAUAAAAUUAAAAAGGUAAGAAGAAAAAACUCAAAUUGAAAUUUUAUAUACACAAAUUUUACUUGUUAUUUUUUUAAAAUCAUUCUAUUUUUUUCACAUUUAUCAUUUAUCACUAUUUUUCUUUUUUUUUUUUAUUUUUUUUUUUUUUAAAUAAUCAUAGAUAACAAAUUUGAUAAGCCGUACGUCAGAAAAUGAAAUUGAUACAGUAUUGAGCAAAAUUAAUUUUAUUUAAACUCUUUAAAUUUGUUAGACCAUUGUAUUUAUUAGUUAUUAAUAACCUUUAUUUUUUUUUUAACUUCACUAGUUUGGUUACUUUUUUUUUUUUUUUUUUUUAUCAUAAUAUGUACAUAUUUGUGUGUGUUUACAUGUGUAUAUAUACAUAUGUAUAUAUAUGCAUGAGUAUAUGUUUACAAAUGCUUUAUUAUUUUAUCUGUUCGUAAUAAUAUAGUGUUUUUUUUUUUUUUAGUGUAGAAAAAAAUAAUAUGUUUUUAAUUAUAAUAAUAAACUGAAAUAUUUUAAAAUGCUUAAGAAUUUG